CUCAGUCCCGCAAAACAGUUUAAAACUGCAGCUAGGAGAAGCCCUGGUCAGCCUUUGUGGGAAAGGAACCUGAACAGAGAAUUCUCCAAGUUGCAGCAGCUGUAGCCAGAAGAAAGGAUAUCAGUUAUCUUCCAAGAACCAACUGCAAGCAUCCUACAAAACCCAUCAAAAUGAACAAGAUCAUCCUCUAUGAGCAUGCAAACUUCCAAGGUUACUCCAAAGAGCUCACCUCUGAUAUCAGCAACCUGGGAUGUGUUGACUGGAAUGACUGUGUCUCCUCUCUGAAGGUUUUUGGACAGCCCUGGGUUGCCUAUGAACAUCACAACUUUACAGGCAAGCUUGAGGUCUUUGAGGAAGGAGAACAUGCUUUUGUUGGUGGGUCUAUGAAUGACAAGAUCACUUCUCUCCAGCUGAUUACUGAAGACCUAAGUAAUCCCCAGAUCACACUUUAUGAACACGUUAAUUAUCAAGGAAAUUUCAAGGUGGUGACAGAAGCAACCAACCUUGCCAGGGGAUUUUUCAAUGACCGAGUGUCUUCCCACAGAGUCCAGAGAGGUGCCUGGCUCUUGUGUGAGCAUAGUGAUGGAAGUGGCUUUCGUUGCAUUGCUCGGGAUCAUGAAAACCUUCCAUACUAUGGAGCUCUAGGUUUCAAUGACGCACUGUCAUUUCUUCGUCCUCUGCGUCCUGGGAGACAUUGCUACUGACAGGCUGAACAGCCUGCCACCAUGGAGGUCCCUGGGAUAGGAAGUCCUUCCCCCUGGGAAAGGAGUCCUGGAGUUCUGUCCAUGAUUUCACUGCAUUCCUUCAUACGUCACAGAAGCAGCGUGUGUUAGAAAGCUUCACUCAGCCUGCACUGAGCAUGAUAGUUUUGUUUCCUGACACUUACUCCAAGGCCUGGCUAAGACUUUCUCAAGGGACUCAGCUUUGCAUUCUCCUUUUUUCUGCCAUGACUGCAGGCUAUUUCCAGGAUACUCCUUCUACCCCUAGACGCUUCAUGCAACCCUGAUUACAAAUUGUAUUAAGGGGCCUCCUGGCCUGAAACUACUGCUGCUUUUGCAUUUGACCCCUUCUUGCUCUGUUUUUCCUUCUGUCCUUGUUGCCAUGUUGCCUCUCUGAUGUGCCAUGGCCUAAGCCCUAGAUGUUAUAGGCCUGAUACAAAAUAUAUAAACACGGAUACCCUCUUUUAAUUGGAAGUGCAAGACAAGGGAAAUGAAUGAUCACUCUGGGGAAAUUCAUGAAGUGACCCUGGACUGAGCUGAUUCAUUAUCAUCCAAAAAAAGAAUAAAAAGAAUGGUUAUCCCUAUUGAUGAAGUACAGGAAGUCAACAAAAGAGGAUGAUCUUCAGAGAGUGAGAGAAUUCCAGCAUUUCAAGUGUCAGGCAGUGAGAAAGAUUGAAUCCAUCCUUAUUCUCUAGUUGUGGUGGAUAUGGGAACUUGAACAGUACGUACAACCAGGAAGGGAUAAAUAAGCAAGCCACAAAAAGUUUAAAAAAAAAUUGAAGAGUGUUGUGUCUCAUGAUGAUGAUCUCUCCUCAGACAAUCAUUCCUAUCCCAGUGAAAAAGGCUGAUAUCUGUGUUGGCAGUGUUCAUCACCAGUGGACUGUGAGAAAGAAACAUGCUUAAAGAAGGCCUUGUUUUUCUACAGUAUAAUCCAAAACCGGAUGUAAGCUCCAACUGUAAUGAUAUUUGUCAAAACCAUUAAUUACAUGCUCCAUCCUCCCUGACACGCUCAUGUCUGCUUUUGAGGGGGAAAAAAAAUAAAGAUAUUUUCCUCUGCUAACACUGCUAUAAUCAUGUUACUUUGCUGAAAAGUCAAAUCCUGGUCUUGUGAUCCAAUACUAAAAUUUCAUUCCCAAGGAUCUCCAUCCCCCCAUAUUAUUUGCCUUUGUUGUCUAAACCAGACUUUAUUAUUAUUAUUAUUAUUUUGUGAGGAAAGGAACCAAGCUGAGUGCAUCUCAUCGCAGAAGGAAGAGAUGGUACUAAGCUCAGACUCUGCUGCAGUGAUCUCAUGUGCCCCCAUCCCCAAAAUACCUUGCUGUUGUGGUCUACAAGGGCCUGGUUCUAUGAUCAAGUAGUAUCUGGCUUACAGUGGGAGUAGGACAGCCUCUAGGGCUGUGCGAGGCUUCGGACAGAGCUUUGGAUCCAGAGAAGCUUUGGACAAUUUGGGAUCCGAAGCAGCACAUCCAGGUCGAAGUGCUGGCCUUGUUUGGCUUCCCAAAGGGGUUCGGAGCCACCUCAGGGCUGCCUCGGAGAUGCGGCCAUAAGGUAUAAUGGGGAAACAAUAAAAUAUCUAUAACUUUG